GGGGUUGUAGCUCAGUGGUAGAGCGUUUGCCUCACAUGUGUGAGGACCUGGGUUCAAUCCUCAGCACCA
rnacentral:tRNA from 1 species